rnacentral:rRNA from 1 species
GAUGAACGCUAGCGGCAGGCCUAACACAUGCAAGUCGAGGGGUAACAUAGGAAAGCUUGCUUUUCUGAUGACGACCGGCGCACGGGUGCGUAACGCGUAUACAACCUACCUUUUAGCGGGGAAUAGCCCAGGGGAACUUGGAUUAAUGCCCCAUAGUAUAUAGACUUCUCCUGAAGUUUAUAUUAAACAUUUAUGGCUAUUAGAUGGGUAUGCGUCCUAUUAGUUAGUUGGUAAGGUAACGGCUUACCAAGGCAGCGAUAGGUAGGGGUCCUGAGAGGGAGAUCCCCACACUGGUACUGAGACACGGACCAGACUCCUACGGGAGGCAGCAGUGAGGAAUAUUGGACAAUGGGCGAGAGCCUGAUCCAGCCAUGCCGCGUGCAGGAAGACUGCCCUAUGGGUUGUAAACUGCUUUUACAGAGGAAGAACCACCCCCACGUGUGGGGGUUUGACGGUACUCUGCGAAUAAGGAUCGGCUAACUCCGUG